AGCCAUCUCCUAGGCCAGAAGCAUUAACUCUUUGAAUGCUGCUCGUCAAAGAUCUGUUGCAGAGCCUUUGAAUUGAAGCUGCUUUAAAAUUCCAAUGCAAGGGCUGGUGCGAUGGCUCA